UACCAGUUGGCUGCAGCUCUACUGGAGUCCUAGUGUUGAGAGAGACCUAAAAGAUCAAGCAUGGAACUGUUUAGGAAGAAAAUUAACGCAUCCUUGGAGUCCUGAAGGAAGAGCCUCCCUGAUGGGACCACUUUCAAGGAAGUUUAUGUGCUUGAUGGAGAUGGAAAAAGAUGAAAAAAAGCUCGUUUUCUGGAGAAAGAGCGAUGUGAUUGAAAAUUUGUUUCAUCAAACUAUUUGCUGGAAGAAGUCUGCUUUGAAUGUAACACUUUGCAUUGUUUCAGUUUAUGAGAAAAAGCUGUAGACUUCUACAUGUUAUUUAUUAACUGCAUCUCAGUUGAGCUAAAGCAAUCUAGUCUUUGAAGUGAAUAGAAGCAGAGCCCU
rnacentral:lncRNA from 1 species